rnacentral:miRNA from 1 species
GAGCUUAUUCAUAAAAGUACAG